rnacentral:misc_RNA from 1 species
AAUUUUUCUUUUAACUUAUUAGGAAUAUUGCGAUCACAUAAAAUAUAUCUUUAUAUAAGCAAAUUGUUGGAUGUUUCUCUUCUCACGAAAAGAAACAAAUUCCCAUAACUUUAUUUGUAGCAAACACAUGUGCAUGUAUGAUUUGCAACAGCACAUGUGCUUGUAUUUUACAUGUUUCAAAAGCACUCCACAAGUCAAGCGAUACACUAAAUGCUCUUCAAACAACUUAUGUCAACAUCAUUAGCAAGAGAGGAAAACCCUUGGCAUUUAAUCACAAAACUGCUGCAGGCAUGCAUGAUAAUAUGCUUAAUCCAGUAAACCAAGUUGCAAGACAGCUUUUGUUUUCAGGGGUUCUUAUUUUGUACAGCAAGGUGUAAUGAAACGGAAGAAAUGACAAAGAGAAUAGGGCUAAGGAAGAGUACAACAAUCCUAGAGAAAAUAGGCCAGGUGGCAGUUAGGAUUUGGUGACAACAAAUAUAGGUAUUAGAAACUGAGAAAAACAGUUUGCAAAUUCGAUGUUAACCACAAAUAUGGGUAUUUUUGACAUUUUGUCUAUGAUGAAUAUGCAAACCAAUUACACAAUCAUGACCUAAACUGCAUAUUUUUGAAACAGGGGAAACUUGCAUGUUUAUUACAUGAAACACCUUGGGGAGAUGGGUCCUUAUAAUUAAACAUUAAAUGAAACGAUUUCAUGACAAUUACAUGCCAGACUAGGAAGCAUGUAUGCUUUGUUAUAUUGACAUAUAUGCAGUCAAUUGCUUUCCAAUGCAAUGAACAUUUCAACCCUUUAGUUUACCCUAAUUUACCGUGUUGAAUAAGGAUACUUAGGCAUAGGAAUGAAAGUUCAUCAAAUUAGUGGGAAAAUGAGUAAAAGUUGGGAAAAUAGGCAAUGGCUUCCCAUCUCAGCACAUAUUGAUCAUUCAAGUUAAAUGAACCAUAGGUAGCAAGUGCAAAAGGCUUCCCAUCUCCCCUUUCAACAAAUUGCUUUGCUUCAUGUACAGUUACAAGUUUCAUGACUGGCUUCCCAUCUCCCCAGUGGGAAAAUUGAUUCACUUUAUUUAUGACAAAAUGUUUCAAAAAGAAGUACAAGGGUGACCCAAUGUAGGAAGCAUCGCACACUUGUGGGCUCUAAGAAGGGUUGACGUACGUAGCCUCACCCCUACUUUGAAAAGAGGCUGUUCCAAAAAAGGAGUAUGAACGAUCAAAAUCAGUUAAGCAGUUUCAACAAGAUGUGUGUAGUCAAGGAGAAAUUCCAUUGGCUUUGUCCAUAAUCUAAGUAGUUAACACAGCUAAUAAUAAUAAUAAU